UUUGACAGUGAAAACAAUGUCCGCUCUAGCUCGUUGACAACUGAAUACUUGACACUCAAUUGAAAAAAAAACAACUAACAAAGACAAAUAAAUUUAAUACUCACGUUAUAUUCUACCCUCCAAAUUUAUUUCUCGUCUUCACCAAAAAGCCACCACCUCAGCAUCACACAUCACAAUAGACGAAAUUCCCAAGGUUCCGAUGGACAUUUAUGUUCAGCUGUUAAUGGAGAUCAGAUGGAGAUGCUGCCUAAUGAGGAGAUGGUGAAAGAUGUGCUUUAAGCUGUUGCUGCUGUCCUUGGUGUCACAAUUCAAUGUGUUGUUCAUUGAUUUGCUUCCAUCUCUCGGGAGUUCAAGUUGAGCUGCAGCUGCUGCAAGCAGUUUGUAGCAUUGGUGUCAUCCUGAAGUGUUCUCAACGUGUCAGUCAAGGCUUAAGCUUAUUAAAGCGUGCUGUUCAAGAUCAUAGAUGUCAAGCACAUUGAUGACAAAGUUUAAACAAGACUUUAAGAAAAGUCAUGUUCUUUCAAGAAAAAGGACAAGAACUAUUCAGUAAGGUUCCUUGUCUGCUAACCUGUUGGCUGCUACCCUUGAAUCUCCCUUUUUACUUCCUUAUAUGGCCUUCUUGAUUUAAGGGUAAUCCUUCGCUACUUGUCAUGGACUUCAACCAUUGGUGAAAACUGACGAGAGAAU
rnacentral:lncRNA from 1 species